ensembl:lncRNA
AUGGGAUUGUAUGAGUACAAUAGGAUGCCACAAGGUCUAUGCAACAGCCCUGCCGCAUUCAUGCGAAUGAUGCUCAGCAUAUUUGGGGAUUUGAAUUUCAGUAGCCUCUUGUGCUACCUUGAUGAUCUGCUUGUGUUUGCCUCGACAGAAGAGGAAGCUUUGGAGAGGUUGGAAAUCGUGUUUCAGCGGCUGCGGUUACAUAAUCUCAAGCUCAGCCCCAAAAAGUGCCAUCUGAUGCGAUCCUCAGUCAAGUUUCUAGGUCACGUUGUAGAUAGCAAUGUAGUGGCUGUGGAUCCAGCAAAAAUUGAAGUAAUAUCGAAGAUGUCAAAGACGGAUCUCAUGGAGGAUGAUGGUUAUACACCAUCAGUAAGGAGGAUAAAAUCUUUCCUGGGGAUGGUGUUUUACUACCAACACUUCAUCCCACAUUGUUCCUCCAUAGCCAAGCCACUGUUCGCUCUCACUGCUGGACAAAAGAGGAGAGGAAGGGCCAAGAUAAAUUCCAAUUCUGGCUCAUACAGGAAACUCAAGCCUUCUGAUUGGACAGAUGAAUGUGAGGCUGCUCUAUCGAACCUGAAAGACAGUCUCUUGAACUGUGUUGUCCUCAAACACCCAGAUUUCUCUGAGCCUAUGAUACUGUCUGUUGAUGCGUCUCUAGAUGGGCUUGGUGCUGUACUAUCUCAGAUACCAGCUGGAGAACAAAAGGCACGUCCCAUUGCUUUUGCUAGUAAGACCUUGAGCAACUCGCAACAAAGAUACCCAGCCCACAGACUUGAGUUUCUAGCCCUGAAAUGGAGCGUGUGUGAGAAAUUUAGCCAUUGGUUAAAAGGCCAUCCUUUCACAGUAUGGACAGACAACAACCCUCUCACAUAUAUCAUGACAAAACCCAAGCUUGACGCGUGUGAGCAGCGCUGGGUGUCCAAACUGGCCCCUUAUACAUUUGACUUGAAACACAUACCUGGUACAAAGAACAUUGUGGCUGAUGCUCUCAGUAGAGACCCCUUUACAAAGACAGUUGGUCACCGACUCAUCACAGAGCAGUAUGGUCACCUUCUAGUUGAAGCCGAGGGUGUUAGCCAUGGUGGGAUCCAAGACUCCUUUCGCUUAAAGGUCCAGUGUCAGCGAGUGAAGAAGUCAAACUCUCAAGCUGCCAAGUCUCAGGCUGAUCAUGUUAGGUAUUGUUGUGGUCCUGUGGAUAUUAAAGCAGUCUUUGAUGCCCAUGACCAGUGGGAUGAGGCUGCUGAGGUGAGAGCUGUGGAGUUAAUCCAGUCUGUCCAGGACCUGUUGCCGCCAGGGCAAGACUCACUCUCUACAUUCACUUUCAAAGAGCUGCAACGAAGCCAAGAACUUGACCCAGUCAUUUCCAAAAUCUUGCCUUAUGUAAUUCGAAGGAGACGGCCUUCCAGGCGUGAGAGAACAGGAUUUAAUGGCAAGGUCAUGGUGCUAGUUAAACAGUGGGAGAGGCUCAAGAUCCAGAAUGUUCUCUAUCUCUAUGAGGACCUCUAUCAGAUCUCUAUCAGAUCAUCAAAGACCCUUUUAGUAAACAAAAGAGGCACCAGUUUGUUCUGCCAGAGAGUCUAA